GCGCUCGCGCCAAUACUCGAGGUCUGAGAGGCGGAGCUAUCAGUACCAUCGCCGGAGCUCAGUAUACCAUGGUCCUCUACAAUAUUAUCGGAGAAGAAAAAACUUUGUCCUAUAUUCUCCCCGCAGUCCAUCGGAGAUGCAAUGUUAAACCGAUGGGUUUAGAAAAAACUGAUGCGACCAUGGAUAGAUUAUGCAAUGUGAUUCACUCAUUCAGUUCGAAGUGUGCCAAAAGAAUUGCUAUACAUCAGGAAGUCGGGGCACGUGUAGCUUGAUCAAGGCAUCAUGGAGGAAUAGUACGCCUGACCUUGAUGAUCUUGAUGCCGCAGUGUCAAGCACAUCUAGCUUCCUAUCUCAGUUUCAAAGAAGUCCAUCACUGGUCUAAUGUUGGGAGUUCCAGUGACGAACAAAGCGAUCCCUUGACACCAGAAGGAGCAGAUGUUCCAUCCCUUGAUUCAUUGGACAAAUACAUGGACAACCUCAUCCUCGCUUCCAACGACAACACCAGAGGCAAAAAUAAUUACAGUUCCCUCCUAGCGGAGUAGUCUAUGAUAUAUUUUAAGUCGUAGUUCUUGCAUGUGUGUCUUGCUCUAAUUUAACAGAAUCGACUGCUCAGUUUGUUAUGUUCAUGUAAUAAGAUCUCCUAACAGUCUCAGUAUCAUGGUCUUUUCACGCUGGAGCACACUUGCAUGUAACAUAUUAUCCAAUCCCACCGCAGAUUCCCCGCAUAGGUACA